GUGUGGUCUUCCCUCAAGCUCUUCAGAGAAGGAAGGAUUGUAUUUGUAUGCUUUCCACCUUUCUGUGUAACAUUCUUGUGGGUUAUUUCCUGAUGUAGAUACCUAGAGCUCGGAAG